CCUACGGGUGGCAGCAGUGGGGAAUAUUGGACAAUGGGCGAAAGCCUGAUCCAGCCAUGCCGCGUGUGUGAAGAAGGCCUUCGGGUUGUAAAGCACUUUCAGUGGGGAAGAAAGCCUUGGGGCUAAUACCCUCGAGGAAGGACAUCACCCACAGAAGAAGCACCGGCUAACUCCGUGCCAGCAGCCGCGGUAAUACGGAGGGUGCGAGUGUUAAUCGGAAUUACUGGGCGUAAAGCGCGCGUAGGCGGUCUGAUAAGCCGGUUGUGAAAGCCCCGGGCUCAACCUGGGAACGGCAUCCGGAACUGUCAGGCUAGAGUGCAGGAGAGGAAGGUAGAAUUCCCGGUGUAGCGGUGAAAUGCGUAGAGAUCGGGAGGAAUACCAGUGGCGAAGGCGGCCUUCUGGACUGACACUGACGCUGAGGUGCGAAAGCGUGGGUAGCAAACAGGAUUAGAUACCCGUGUAGUC
rnacentral:rRNA from 1 species